ensembl:snRNA U6 U6 spliceosomal RNA
GUGUUCAAUUCAGCAGCAUAUAUGACAAAAUUGGACCUAUACAAAGAUUAGCAUGGCCCCUGUGCAAGGAUGACUCCAAAAUUUGGGAAGUAUUCCAUAUUUUU